rnacentral:rRNA from 1 species
AACGAACGCUGGCGGCAGGCCUAACACAUGCAAGUCGAGCGGACCCUUCGGGGUUAGCGGCGGACGGGUGAGUAACGCGUGGGAACGUGCCCUUUGCUUCGGAAUAGCCCUGGGAAACUGGGAGUAAUACCGGAUACGCCCUUUUGGGGAAAGAUUUAUCGGCGAAGGAUCGGCCCGCGUUGGAUUAGGUAGUUGGUGGGGUAAUGGCCUACCAAGCCGACGAUCCAUAGCUGGUUUGAGAGGAUGAUCAGCCACACUGGGACUGAGACACGGCCCAGACUCCUACGGGAGGCAGCAGUGGGGAAUCUUAGACAAUGGGGGAAACCCUGAUCUAGCCAUGCCGCGUGAGCGAUGAAGGCCUUAGGGUUGUAAAGCUCUUUCACCGGGGAAGAUAAUGACGGUACCCGGAGAAGAAACCCCGGCUAACUCCGU